GACGAACGCUGGCGGCGUGCUUAACACAUGCAAGUCGAACGGAAAGGCCCUGCUUUUGUGGGGUGCUCGAGUGGCGAAAGGGUGAGUAACACGUGAGUAACCUGCCCUUGACUUUGGGAUAACUUCAGGAAACUGGGGCUAAUACCGGAUAGGAUCUCCUGCUGCAUGGUGGGGGUUGGAAAGUUUCGGCGGUUGGGGAUGGACUCGCGGCUUAUCAGCUUGUUGGUGGGGUAGUGGCUUACCAAGGCUUUGACGGGUAGCCGGCCUGAGAGGGUGACCGGCCAAAUUGGGACGGAGCUACGGCCCAGACUCCUACGGGAGGCAACAGUGGGGAAUAUUGCACAAUGGGCGGAAGCCUGAUGCAGUAACGCCGCGCGCGGGAUGACGGCCUUCGGGUUGUAAACCGCUUUCGCCUGUGACGAAGCGUGAGUGACGGUAAUGGGUAAAGAAGCACCGGCUAACUACGUG
rnacentral:rRNA from 1 species